rnacentral:rRNA from 1 species
GGUUCGAUUAUGGCUCAGAUUGAACGCUGGCGGAUGCUUUACACAUGCAAGUCGAACGGCAGCACGGACUUCGGUCUGGUGGCGAGUGGCGAACGGGUGAGUAAUGUAUCGGAACGUGCUCAGUAGCGGGGAUAACUACGCGAAAGCGUAGUCAAUACCGCAUACCGCCCUUCGGGGGAAAGCGGGGGAUCUUCGGCCUCGCACCAUUAGAGCGGCCGAUAUCGGGAUUAGCUAGUUGGUGGGGUAACGGCUCACCAAGGCGACCCGUAGCUGGUUUGAGAGGACGACCAGCCACACACUGGACCAGACACGGCCCAGACUCCGCAUGGAAAGUGCGCAGGGAAUUUUGGAUACUUGGGGAAACCCUGAUCCAGCCAUCCCGCGUGUGCGAUGAAGGCCUUCGGGUUGUAAAGCACUUUUGGCAGGAAGAAACGGCACGGGAUAAUACCCCCGUGCAACUGACGGUACCUGCAGAAUAAGCACUGGCCAACUACGUGCCAGCAGCCGCGUACACGGGGUGCAGCGUUAAUCGGAAUUACCGGGCGUAAAGCGUGCGCAGGCGGUUCGGAAAGAAAGAUGUAAAUCCAGAGCCGAUCUUUGGGAACUGCAUUUUUAACUACCGAGCUAGAGUGUCAGAGGGAGGUAAAUUCGCGUGUAGCAGUGAAAUGCGCAGAUAUGCGGAGAACACCGAUGGCGAAGGCAGCCUCCUGGGAUAACACUGACGCUCAUGCACGAAAGCGUGGGGAGCAAACAGGAUUAGAUACCCUGGUAGUCCACGCCCUAAACGAUGUCAACUAGCUGUUGGGGCCUGGCCUCGGUAGUGCAGCUAACGCAGGAAGUUGACCGCCUGGGGAGUACGGUCGAUUAAAAAUCCCCAAAGGAAUUGACGGGGACCCGCACAAGCGGUGGAUGAUGUGGACUAUCUGAUGCAACGGGCGAAAAACCUUACCUACCCUUGACAUGUCUGGAAUCUCAGGAAGAGCUCUGGGGAGUGCUCGCAAGAGAACCGGAACACAGGUGCUGCAUGGCUGUCGUCAGUUCGUGUCGUGAGAUGCUGCUGUUCCGUACCAGCGCAACUUUGCGUUACGAAGUUGUAUGCUAUUUGUGCUGGCACCUUUCCACUGAGACUGCCUGUGACAACCGGGAGGGAAGGUGGGGAUGACGUCAAGUCCUCAUGGCCCUUAUGGGCAGGGCUUCACACUGUCAUACAAUUCUGGUCGGGACAGAGGCUCAACCCGCGAGGGGGAGCCAAUCCCAGAAACCCCGAUCGUAUCCGAACGCAGUCUGCAACUCGACUGCGUGAAGUCAGAAUCGCUGUGGGUAAUCGCGGAUCAGCAUGUCGCGGUGAAUACGUUCCCGGGUCUGCGGUAGGCCACACCGCCCUCACACCAGUGGGAGUGGUUUCACUGAAGAAGUUAGCCUAACCGUAAGGAGGGCGAUUACCAUGGUAGGAUUCAUGACUGACCGGGGUGAAGUCGUAACGCUGCAA